CAGUAGCCGCGGUAAUACGAAGGGUGCAAGCGUUAAUCGGAAUUACUGGGCGUAAAGCGUACGCAGGCGGUUUGUUAAGUCAGAUGUGAAAUCCCCGAGCUUAACUCGGGAACUGCAUUUGAAACUGGCAGGCUAGAGUCUCGUAGAGGGGGGUAGAAUUCCAGGUGUAGCGGUGAAAUGCGUAGAGAUCUGGAGGAAUACCGGUGGCGAAGGUGGCCCCCUGGACAAAGACUGACGCUCAGGUGCGAAAGCGUGGGGAGCAAACAGGAUUAGAUACCCGCGUAGUCCCUGUCUCUUAUAC
rnacentral:rRNA from 1 species